GAGAGUAUAGCUCAGUGGUAGAGCACAUGCUUAGCUUGCAUGAAGUCCUGGGUUCAAUACCCAGUACCUCCA
rfam:Camelus ferus unplaced genomic scaffold scaffold987, whole genome shotgun sequence.